AAAUAAAAUCUUUAUAUAAUUAAAAAUUAUGUAUGUAUCCAUGUAUAUAUUUUCGUAAAGGUAUAAAUUCUUAAAUAAAUAUUUGAAAUGAAUUUAAAUAUAAAUUAAACAAGUCAUGACAUUAAAAUAAUAUAAUAACAUUUAUUUAAACAAAUCACACACAAAUCUCAAAUAGUAUAGAAUUUCAGAGUUUACAUAACCAAGAGAUAUCACAUGAAAUAACAUAAUAUGUUUUAGGAAACAUUUAUCUUUAAAUAGAUUCGACGCGCCCAUUCGACUCUCCACGCGCCUCCGAUAUCAAUCACCUGAAACUGUUGAAUAUGGGAUGAGCAUACAUGGUACACUCAGUGUGGGAACAUGCAAUAAUUGUCCAUGUUAAUAAAAUGGUAACACAUAUUGUCAUAACGUAACAUAACUUCCAUACGCACUGUGGCAACUCCAAGGACUUUAAUGUCCCGGACCCUAUAUGUGGGCCCCUGGCGACAAUAUAAUGGUUGCAACCCUGUAACAUGAAAUCGCAUUGUGGCAUACCAAGGACGGUGAAGUCCUGGACCAAUUAUGCUGGCCCCUAGCGAUAAAUAUUUUUACAACACAUACGGUAAACACAUAAUAUUAAAAUGGACAAAUAUUAACCACGUGCAUGUACUGAAAUAAAUCCCACACCUGGAAAUUUAACUUGAACUUGAACUUCAACUUGAAUGCUAACUUGAGUAAUACAAUUAAAAUUCAUAUCCUAGUCGCGCCGCACCUAGUCAGAUAAAUUCAAAUAAUAACAUAUAAGGGCCUAUUUGAACUUUUAGGAAAAUAAUAUAAACUAUAGGAUCAUUUAAAAAUAAUUGAUCUAAUAAAUUUAAGUAGUAAAAUAUAUUUUCUCAUGAAAAUUUGGAUUAAGAAAUGAUUUAAUAAUUUAAAUAAUAAGAUAUAAUUUCUUAUGAAAAUUUUGAUUAGUAAAAUAAUUUAAGGAUAAAUCCAACUUAAUUAAAAGAAAUAUGUAGCUCAAAAUAAUUAAAAUUAAACCCAAUUACUUAUGUGAAAGUGAGCCCAUGAGGUAAUUAAAAAUUAAACCCAGCUAUUUAAAUAAAAUCAGCCCAUGAAAUUAAAAUCCCCAUUUGGCCCAAGCCCACUCUUCCAACUCCCCUAAUCUAAACUCACACACAAUCUUCACCUCAGACACUCAUACGCAGCUCUUCCUCUCUCCCUCUCCUCUUCUCUCCCUCGGUCUCCCCCUUCCGCCGCCACCAGGCGGCACGCCACCGCCCCGUCGGCCGGCGGUUCUGCCUCCUUUCCCUUCCCCCUUCUUCCUAUCUCCUUCUCACCCCUCACUUCUCGUCCUCUUCCUCCUCCCCUGCCCUUGUCCUCACCGCACCAGCCGCACCUGCGCCCCUCUUCUCCGGCGACCCCUGCCGCCACCGUCUCCUGCCCGGCGUCGCCUUCACCGUCUAUUUCUCUCCUGGCCAACAGCAGCACCACCAUCGCCGCCCCUGCGUCGACAGCGGCGCCGCCCAGCCGCCUCCUUCCUCUGUCCGACCAGAACGCCGAGACCUAGCGCCGCUGCCCCUGUCUCCACCUCCGUCGGAUCCGGCGGUAUUGCUGCUCAACCGUUUCCCCUCCCUUCUAUUUUCUUUUCUUUUUGUAAAACAGUGAAUAUGAUUUCGAUCAAUUUAAUAUCUGUAUAUGCAUGUUUAAAUUUAUAAAAACAAGAAUUUUGUGGGAGUUUGGUUGUUUUCUGUAAAUUGAAAGAAAGCAGAAAUCUUUGCAUAUGAAAAUAAACUAUACAAGUUUUUGAGAAUUACCGAUGGAGAUUCGGCAGUGGGAAGAAACAGGAUGAAUCUUAAAAGACUGAAUUUGUUUUGUUGAUUUGUGAAUUUGAGGAUGAUACAAUGAGGUUUAAAUAGAUUGAAUUUACUUGUUCGUCAAAGAUUUGAAGUGUGAAAGAAAUCCUGCUGUGGAAGGAAAAAAUCAAGAUUUGAAAUCAAAGUUUUGCUGCUGUGGUUGUCAAAUUUUACGGAAAGGGGGUUUGAUUAGUGAAUAGGUGUAUGCUUGUGAUUUUUCUAAAUAUAUAUAGAAUGUUCAGAGAAAUACUUGUAGUUGUAGAGAUGUAAAAACAGGAAAUGAUAAAUUGUACUGAAAUAGAAAUUUCAUAGAUUGAAAAUUAAUACCAUGUUGAUUGAUCUGCAGUUAGAGAG
rnacentral:lncRNA from 1 species